GCGUGUGCGGCUCAGCCGAAUGGAGCAUCGGACUUCUAAUCCGACGGUCGCAGGUUCGCCUCCCUGCCAGGCGCG
rnacentral:tRNA from 1 species